rnacentral:rRNA from 1 species
AUGACGGAGCGUGUGGUCAAGUCGUUGGUAUCCAUGUUGAUGAACAAGGCAACCAGCUUCCUGGUGGACCAGUACAAGGUGAUGGAUGGCAUGGAGAAGCACCAUGAGAUCCUGGAGCUUGAUAUGGCGGCAGUCUUGCACAUCAUCAAAGAACUGGUGAAAGAAGCUUUCUGGCGCGGAGUUGGUGUCUGGCUCGAGGCCCUCAAGAAGGUACCCUAUGAGGCAAACAAUGUCUUCGACGAGUUCAAGUACGAGGUGCUGCGGCGUGACGCCAAGAAGAAGGGACACUACAAGAAGCUUGGAUUUGAUAUCGUGAGCCUCUUCCCUGCCCACAACCCCGUCGUAUUUCGUUAUAGGAUGGGAAAGAAGUUGUGCAAGAUUGUGCACACCAUUAAGGUCCUUGUCGCAGAGAUGAAUGCCUUUGGAUUCAGACCAAUGCAGGAAGCACCAGCAUCCAAGCAGUGGCGCAACACAGAUUCCAUAAUUAUUGACCCUGAGAAGGAUAUUGUCAACAGAUCUAGAAACAAAGAGAAGAAGAAGAUCGUGAAUAUAUUGGUCGAUCAAGCUAGUGACAGGGAUCUCAUUGUCCUUCCCAAUGUUGGCAUGGGUGGGCUGGGAAAGACCACCUUUGCGCAGCUUGUCUACAAUGACCCUGAAAUUAAGGUGUAUUUCCAACUCCAGAGGUGGUGUUUUGCUAAGAUUGCAAGCAACAUCUGUCAGACCAAUGAGAUGGAUCGUGAAAAGGCAUUGCAAAACCUUCAAAAGGAAUUAGGUGGGAAGAGAUGCUUUGUUGUGUUCGAUGAUGUAUGGAAUGAAGACGCUGAUAAGUGGGAAAAACUCAAGACCUGCCUGAAGCAUGGUGCCAAGGGGAGUGCAAUACUGAUGACCACUCGUAAACUAAAAGUGGCUCACAUUAUGAAGAUGUGCAUUGAUGAUAGCCAUAACCUCGGAAAGCUACAUAAAGUAUUUCUAAAGGAAAUACUUGAGAAUAGAGCAUUCUGUUUGCAAAAACCAAAUGAUGUUGAGCCUGAGCUAAGUGAGGUGGUUGAACUGAUUCUGGAUAGAUGUGUGGGCUCUCCUUUAGCUUCCAAAGCCUUUGGAUCUAUGUUGAGUAUAAAAACUAGCAUGAAAGAAUGGAGGGACAUACUAACCAGAAGCAAUACUUGCAAUGAGGACACUUUACAUGUACUCAAGCUCAGCUAUGAUGACUUGCCAUCACACUUGAAACAGUGCUUUGCUUUUUGUGCAGUAUUUCCCAAAGAUUAUGAGAUUGAUGUGGAAAUAUUAAUCCAACUAUGGAUGGCACAUGAUUUAAUACCACUGAAGAAAGGUGAACUUCUUGAAAGGGUGGGCAGAGAAAUUUUUGAUUAGCUCACUUGGAGGUCGUUUUUUCAAGAUAUCAAGCUAAUCUCUCGAAGAAAAAAUUAUCAGCUCCGUUCUAGAACAGUAUGCAAGAUACAUGAUCUUAUGCAUGACAUUGCGUUGUCUGUUAUGGGAAAAGAUUGUCUUACUAUAGUUGAUAGGCCUAUUCAAAAGGAGUUGUUGUCAGCAGGCCCUACUCGCCACUUAUUCUCAUCCUGA